GGAGAGAUGUCCGAGUGGUUGAAGGAGCUGCUCUCGAAAAGCGGUAUUCCGAGCAAUCGGAAUCGGGGGUUCGAAUCCCCCUCUCUCCGCCA
rnacentral:tRNA from 1 species